rnacentral:rRNA from 1 species
GAUGAACGCUGGCGGCGUGCCUUAGGCAUGCAAGUAGAACGAGAACGAGUAGCAAUACUAGUUAGAGUUGCGAACGGCUGAGUAACACGUAAGAACCUACCUCUUGGAGGGGAAUACCUCGUCGAAAGACGGGUUAAUACCGCAUAAGAUCGUAAGAUGAAAGCUUUUGUAGUAAUACAACGGCGCCGAGAGAGGGGCUUGCGGCCCAUCAGCUAGUUGGUAGGGUAAAAGCCUACCAAGGCUACGACGGGUAGGGGGCGUGAGAGCGCGUUCCCCCAGAAUGGCACUGAGAUACGGGCCAUACACCUACGGGUGGCAGCAACCGGGAAUUGUACGCAAUGGACGAAAGUCUGACGUCGCGACGCCGCGUGAGGGAUGAAGGCCUUAGGGUUGUAAACCUCUUUUGCCGAGUGGGAGACCACUCGGAGAAUAAGUACUUGCUAACUCUGUGCCAGCAGCAGCGGUAAUACAGAGAGUACAAGCGUUAUCCGGAUUUACUGGGCGUAAAGCGUUUCGUAGGCGCUUCACUAAGUUAUGUUUCAAAGACCGGGGCUCAACCCCGGGAAGGGAUGUAAUACUGGUGGAGUCAGAAUUAUGUCGGGGCUAUUGGAACUGUCGGUGUAGGGGUGAAAUCCGUUGAUAUCGACAGGAACUCCGAGGGCGUAGGCAGAUAGCUAGGCAUAUAUUGACGCUGAGGAACGACAGCUAGGGGAGCGAAAGGGAUUAGAGACCCCUGUAGUCCUAGCCGUAAACGUUGCUCGCUAGCUUUCUCUAUGUAAUGUAGAGGGGGCGUAAGCUAACGCGUGAAGCGAGCCGCCUGGGGAGUACGAUCGCAAGAUUAAAACUCAAAGGAAUUGACGGGGACCUGCACAACCAGCGGAGCAUGUGGUUUAAUUCGAGACGAACCGAAGAACCUUACCCAGAUUUGACAUGUAAGGCAUUUAGGCAACCAGAGAUGGAUGCUGAUUUUUAUAAAUAUAAAAAACUUUACACAGGUGUUGCAUGGCUGUCGUCAGCUCGUGCCGUAGGGUGUUCCCUUAAGUGGGGUAACGAGCGCAACCCCUUUCGUAUGUUGAAUUGUUCAUACGAUACUGUCGGCCUUUGGCCGGAGGAAGCGGGGACGACGUCAAGUCAGCAUGGCCCUUAUAUCUGGGGCUACACACAUACUACAAUGGAGCCGACAAUGGGUCGCCAAGCCGUAAGGCGGAGCUAAUCCCAUCAAACGGCUUCUCAGUGGGGAUUGUGGGCUGCAACUCGCCCACAUGAGCGUGGAGUUGGUAGUAAUCGCGGGUCAGCUAAACCGCGGUGAAUACGUUCUCAGGUCUUGUACACACCGCCCGUCAAGUCAGCAAAGUUGGGGGCAGCCGAA